UUUCCGUAGGUGAACCUGCGGAAGGAUCAUUACAGUAGUCGCCCGGGUUGCCGCAAGGCCUCCCGGGUAACCUACCACCCUUUGUUUAUUACACUUUGUUGCUUUGGCAGGCCUGCCCUCGGGCUGCUGGCUCCGGCCGGCGAGCGCUUGCCAGAGGACCUAAACUCUGUUUGUCUAUACUGUCUGAGUACUAUAUAGUAGUUAAAACUUUCAACAACGGAUCUCUUGGUUCUG
rnacentral:misc_RNA from 1 species